UACGUAGGGUGCGAGCGUUGUCCGGAUUUACUGGGCGUAAAGAGCGCGCAGGCGGUCGUACAAGUCGCGUGUGAAAGCCCCCGGCUCAACUGGGGAGGGUCACGCGAUACUGUUCAACUCGAAGGCAGGAGAGGGAAGCAGAAUUCCCGGUGUAGUGGUGAAAUGCGUAGAUAUCGGGAGGAAUACCAGUGGCGAAGGCGGCUUCCUGGCCUGUUCUUGACGCUGAGGCGCGAAAGCUAGGGUAGCAAACGGG
rnacentral:rRNA from 1 species